CUGGUUGAUCCUGCCAGACCCGACUGCUAUCGGAUUGGGACUAAGCCAUGCGAGUCAACUCCGCAAGGGGUGGCGCACGGCUCAGUAACACGUAGUCAACCUACCCUGGGGACGGGGAUAACCUCGGGAAACUGAGGCUAAACCCCGAUGGGCCAUGGCUCCUGGAAUGGGCUAUGGCUGAAAUCUACAUGGCCCCAGGAUGGGACUGCGGCCGAUCAGGUUGUUGGUGGGGUAAUGGCCCACCAAGCCUAUAACCGGUGCGGGCUCUGAGAGGAGGAGCCCGGAGAUGGGCACUGAGACAAGGGCCCAGGUCCUAUGGGGCGCAGCAGGCGCGAAACCUCCGCAAUGGGCGAAAGCCCGACGGGGUCAGUCCGAGUGGUUCCCGCUGAGGGAACCUUUUGCCAGCUGUAAACAGGCUGGCGAAUAAGGGGUGGGCAAGUUUGGUGUCAGCCGCCGCGGUAAUACCAGCACCCCGAGUGGUUGGGACGAUUAUUGGGCCUAAAGCAUCCGUAGCCGGCCCAGUAAGUCCUCCGUUAAAUCCAACGGCUCAACCGUUGGGCUGCGGGGGAUACUGCUGGGCUAGGGGACGGGAGAGGCGAGGGGUAUUCCCGGGGUAGGGGUAAAAUCCACUGAUCCCGGGAGGACCACCAGUGGCGAAGGCGCCUCGCUAGAACGUGCCCGACGGUGAGGGAUGAAAGCUGGGGGAGCGAACCGGAUUAGAUACCCGGGUAGUCCCAGCCGUAAACGAUGUAGGCUCGGUGUUGGGCUGCCUCAGUGGCAGCCCAGUGCCGCAGGGAAGCCGUUAAGCCUACCGCCUGGGGAGUACGGCCGCAAGGCUGAAACUUAAAGGAAUUGGCGGGGGAGCACCAC
rnacentral:rRNA from 1 species